GACGAACGCUGGCGGCGUGCCUAAUACAUGCAAGUUGAGCGCUGAAGGUUGGUACUUGUACCAACUGGAUGAGCAGCGCACGGGUGAGUAACGCGUGGGGAAUCUGCCUUUGAGCGGGGGACAACAUUUGGAAACGAAUGCUAAUACCGCAUAAAAACUUUAAACACAAGUUUUAAGUUUGAAAGAUGCAAUUGCAUCACUCAAAGAUGAUCCCGCGUUGUAUUAGCUAGUUGGUGAGGUAAAGGCUCACCAAGGCGAUGAUACAUAGCCGACCUGAGAGGGUGAGCGGCCACAUUGGGACUGAGACACGGCCCAAACUCCUACGGGAGGCAGCAGUAGGGAAUCUUCGGCAAGGGACGAAAGUCUGACCGAGCAACGCCGCGUGAGUGAAGAAGGUUGUCGGAUCGUAAAACUCUGUUGGUAGAGAAGAACGUUGGUGAGAGUGGAAAGCUCAUCAAGUGACGGUAACUACCCAGAAAGGGACGGCUAACUACGUG
rnacentral:rRNA from 1 species